rnacentral:rRNA from 1 species
AUAUUGUCAAUAGCCUAACGGCUGAACCAGCAAUUUGGGAGAAUGAGGUUGGUAACAUGACAAGUGGGGCCAGAGAAUAGUUACGCAAGGAUCUGUUUUCUGGCGGGGAAUUGGCUUAGUCGAAUAAAGUUCUAGAUAGAAUAAUGAUUAUGACAAUUUUCUAUCUAAAUGUCUUGACCAAGUCACGUGCCAGCAGUCGCGGUAAUACGUGGAAGACUAGUGUUAUUCAUCUUUAAUAGGUUUAAAGGGUACCUAGACGGUAUUUCUAGCCCCCAAAGGGUACGGAUUUACUAGAGUUUUAUGUGAGAGGCAAAUAUUAGUACUAUUGGUGUAGAGAUGAAAUUCUUUGAUACUACUAGGACUGGUGGCGGCGAAAGCAACCCUCUAAGUAUAAACUGACGUUGAGGGACGAAGGCUUGGGUAGCGAAUAGGAUUAGAUACCCUAGUAGUCCAGGCAGAAAAUUAUGAGUGCCAUAGACUAGAUUAAAUAAUUUUGGUCUAUAAAUGAAAGUGUAAGCAUUCCACCUCAAGAGUAAUGUGGCAACGCAGGAACUGAAAUCAUUAGACCGUUUCUGAAACCAGUAGUGAAGUAUGUUAUUUAAUUAGAUAACCCUCGAAAAACCUUACCACAAUUUGAAUGUAAUAUAUGUAGUAGUCUAAUAAUUGUCUAGUUAACAACUACAUGUAUUAACACAAGCGUUGCACGGCUGUCUUCAGUUAAUGUCGUGAGAACUUGGUUUUAUCCGU